rnacentral:lncRNA from 1 species
UCCGACCACAAGCGAGCUUUAGCGAGCGAGUGUUUUAAAACUUGUUAUUUUUAAUUCGCGCACCAUUCUAUUAUCGAUGUACCAAAAUAACCCAAAAGGCAGUGAUCUCGUGUUAAUUGUCGAGCUCAAAGACAAAAAUUACGCACUCCAUCUUUCCGGCCAAUUCGAGAUUCCAGCGACGAGGUGCUUCAAUGACCAACUAAUGACUUCGCCAUUUUGCGACAAUUGAUGUAUUCGAGGUAU